rnacentral:lncRNA from 1 species
UCUAUUUCCCUUAUUGGUUCUGUUGAACCCUGACUCAUACAAUACGGUAACGGUAGAUGCAUGAUAUGCAUCCAUCAAAACCCAUAGAAUUGUACAACACGAAGACUGAAUCAUGAUGUAAACUAGUUUACAGUAUAAAUUAUUAUUAUUAUAAAUCAGUUCACAGCAUAAAUUAUAUUAUAUAUAAAUUAUUUUGUAAUAUGUUAGUUAAUUGUAACAAAUGUACCACAUUCAUCCAAGAUGUUGAUAGGGAAACCGUGUGUAGUGGCAAGGGGAAUAUGGAAAUUCUGUACUAUCUGCUCAGUUUUUCUCUGAACCUAAACCUGGUCUAAAAAACAUAAAGUCUGUUAAUUAAGAAGUACAGAGUAUGCAGAUCUUGGUGGCGUUGGAGGGAAGUGAGAUUAAUGUGCAGUGGAUUGAUGGUUAUUGCUCUGAGAUGCUGGAAGUAAAUUGUUACUUCAGAGAGAGUAAGAGGGUGUACGUGGAGAUGGCCAGGGCAGCGCAGUGCUUCCCAGGAAGUUCCAGAUGAAUUGGUAGGGGUGGUGGGUUGCGAGUUUACUAUUACAUUUGAGUUUGGAAUCUGAUCCAAUUUUAAUCAAAUAUUAAAGGAUUAGGUGACUUACAUGGUAUUAUGUAAACCCCUCAGUCUCUCUGCAAGGUUGGAGAAGACAGGUGGGGACCCCAUCAUCAAAAAGGAAAGUAGAUUAAGCACCCUGAAUCUGGAUGGUGGUGCAGAAUAUUUCCUGGCCCUCCCCCGAUCCACCUGCAGUAUCAAAGUCUGCCUAGGAGGGCUGUCCAGGAGACUCCUUUCUCCCUGUGUUCUCCAGUCGCCCUUCUGUGUCCUUACACUGUCUUAUCACCCUCUUCCCCAGACAGGAGUAGGGGAGAGAAGGAUGCUGUGGGGGUGAAGGGAAAGCCCCAUUAGUUACUAUCAUUAUUACUCUCAUUGUUCAUGCUGGCACCUCAAACUUCCUACUGCUGGACUGCUUUUCUGUCCCUGCUCCAGACCUUGGAUAUACCAACAAUCAACCCCCUUUUCCUUUGAAGUAACAUGAGUGAGCCCCUGGCCAGGACACCAGCUGACGUCCAGCCUCCCUUCUUCCAAUCUUCGCAUAGUGGGGCUGGAGCUGCUUAUGCCGCAGGAGUGGGAAGGAAGCACCACGCCAGUGCAUAUGUGUCCACAGGAGGCAGAAAAACGUGGUUUGACACCCAUCAUCUCUGAUGAAAGCUUUUAAUGAGAGAUACACGAAGGAGAAGGCAGCUUUGACGGGCUCCUGCUGGGAAGGACCUGGCUGGCAUGUGGUGCAGUUAGGAAGAGCAUGCGCAAAACCGACUCAGCAGCUCUGCUGCUGCCUUUCUGAGGCCAUCUCCCCUGCUCCUGCCCUUUCUGCUCCAUUCCCAGGCUGAAGGUUAGCCGCCUGAAUGAGCAGAGGUCUGGCCAGAACACUGUGGCCGUUUAGACACACCAGCCUUUCACGUCAAAGGAGGGUGAGCAAUUUCAGUUUCCGCCCUGAAGGCCGUGAUAAACAGAAAUUGUAAUUCUAGCCCUUGGGGAAGGAGGGCAGAAUUGGAGCCCUUUUAUCCAACUCCUCCAUAUCAACAUUUCAGAUCCAGAGGGCUGGAUGCCUUUGUUCAUCAAAGGUCACAGGAAGGGCAUGUUGACUCCAGUAAGCCUUCUUAAACAGUCUCAUGGGUCAGGCCAUUCCAGAAGGGUCUGCCUCAGAGCCACACCACACGAUGACAAGAAACCCAGAAGGGGUACAAAAUUCUCACAGCUGGAAAUUCUUUGUCUAGUUACGCAGAGUCCGCUGUGCUCUGCCAGAAUGGGUACUGAGCUCUGGUCCGCUUUCUGCCUCAUAGGCAGCAGGUGACUCUGCUCUCUGGGGCCUGCAUUUCCUCAUUCUGCAAAGUGUGAAGAUGGAUGGCACCAGGACAGGCACUGACACAUGGGGGGUCCACUUUGGAAUAACCUGGCAAUCUUUUUAUCUUCAGCUUAACGAACUCAGAUUCGUGGGUCCAGUGUCAGUCUUGCUUUGUCAGGAUUUCUAGGGCUGUGGCCUAGACCCUUGCAUAUUUAAUGAGCUUUCUUGGAGAUAUGGAGGCAGCCAGCUGGGUGCUCAGAAAAGACGUGCUUGGCAGCCACUGAACUAAAUGACCUUUAAAGGCCCUUUCUCUGAUGAUUAUUUUUAAGAUAUUUAAGUAUCUCUUAACAACAUAAAAUAUAGGCACUUUUCAGAAAAAUCAGCUAAGGGGAGAAAGAAUUUUUCAGUGAUAAUCAUUCUACCAGCUAGAGAGCUCUGUGCUAUCAUUUGUCCUUAUACGGAAUUUUCUGAGAUUGUUUGUUUGCAUAAUUAUAACCACACUGCAAGUACAAAUCUUUUUUCUUGCUUUUUCAUUUAACACUAUCUUAUAAAUAGUUUCUCAUGUUUUAUCUGUGUUUUAUCUUUAACAUUUUUGAAAGUAAGUGACAUAAUCUGAGAGCAUGGUCCCUAGCUUACUUUCUCUCUCUCUCUUUUUCUGGGCAUUUUCAGCUACAUGAAUGGAACCACUUGCUUUGUUGCUGAGCUCCUCCUCUGAGGGAUGUGAGAGCAGAGGGUGGGCUGUCUGUCCUCCUUCCCUGUCUGGGUGGAACCCUGACAACCCAUGUUCUGCCCACAAACUGCACUACUGCGGCAUUUAUGCCAGAUGAGGGCCUAUUCACUGAGUCAGACACUGAAGUGAAACCAGCAUGGGCCCCUCUCUGUUUCUCUGUGACUCCUCUCCUGGGAAUCCUGUACCAUUGCUGCUGAUGGAACAGAUUAAUGGAGAAACUGAUGGAUCUGACCCAGAAAACAUCUCCUGAUCAUCUCCAGUCAGUUUUCAUUUGCUAUGGUUUGUUUUGGCCACUUAAGGGCUGCAGUGAACCUCAGUCUUGAUGACGCAAUCUCAGGUUUGGGGAGCUCAUUCAAUCUCAGGUUUGGGGAGCUCAUUCAAUCUCAGGUUUGGGGAGCUCAUUCAAUCUCAGGUUUGGGGAGCUCAUUCAUGAACCUACUCACAAACACCCUCCCCCCCGCCCUAAAUAAAUAACGAGCAGAAAACUCAGGGCCAGACUUUGGGCAGAGAGGAUGCUGAGUAUCACAUGACUCCAUGCAUUACUGCUCUGGGUAAGCUUCUCAUAGACAGCAGAAGCCAGAGAGUUCAGCUAUGCCACACAUUCUUCAAGCGGGAAGCUGAGUCUUUUCCAUUGGAAAGGACUGACCUAGGGUCUCAGAGUGGAUACAUGGCAGAGCCUGUUGGCCAGGACUGGCUGCCUGCCCUUGACACCAGGCUGGAGUGCCGAUACAAGGUGUUUGUGGCUAUUCCUCCUUCAGGAUGUUCCAGGAGCUUAGAUUGGCCUUGUCACUCCUCCAUACCCCAGCCAGCUGCUUUGUCUCAAGGCUACAUCAGUCUAACAUCUUUUUUUUUUGUCUUUUUGUCUUUUUAGGGCCACAUCCGCGGCAUAUGGAGGUUCCCAGGCUAGGGGUCUAAUCAGAGCUGUAGCCACUGGCCUGCACCAGAGCCACAGCAACACAGGAUCCAAGCCACAUCUGCAACCUGCAUCACAGCUCACGGCAACGCCAGAUCCUUAACCCACUGAGCAAGGCGAGGGAUUGAACCUGCAACCUCAUGGCUCCUAGUCAGACUCGUUAACCAUUGUGCCACGAUGGGAACUCCCAGUCUAACAUCUUUAUGGUCAGGCUCUCCUUUCCUUCCUUCCCUUCCUUUCUUUUUCUUCCCUCCAUUCCGCAAAGCUGUUUGAAUGUUAAGCAAAUGCCAGCUACUCUACUGGAGAUCCAAAAAGGUUCACCAGCUGUUUGGAGUGACAGGCCAGCCUGCCUGUUUCACCUCCAGCGUGAUGAAUACUGUGACAGGGCUGGGAAAGGACAGGAAAGGCCCCGAUCCCAGACUUGCAGAGGGGUGGGGCUUCCUGGAGCAGAUGGCGUCUAAAUCAAUUGCUAAAGACUGAGUAGGAGUGAGCAGGAGAAGUAAGAGAUGGACCAUCCCCUCUUAGGGCUGUGGGUAAGGAAGCGCAUCACCCAAGGGACUGCAGAUCAUUCUUUAUUGGGGGUCUCCAGGGUUUGGAGUGAUGGCACUUGACCUUCUGUGUGGGUGGUAUGCCCUGUGUCGCUGGUGGAGCUCUGUCAGCAGUAGGUUUCCAUUCCAAGAGUGGAGAGCUCUGGCUCUGUGUGCUUGGGGAAGCAGAGGGGUCCAUCUGAGCCUGGAGGUGGAAGGAAGUCUCCUUUGGUCAGGUAACACCGAAGGCCUCUGUGAAGUGCAGAUGUAAUCAGGAAGAUGCUUUCAUAUUCAGUUGUUCUCAGUGGCUGACAGCUCUACUCUUCCUGUGCCUAAUUAGACUGGCACCCAGCAAAGCACGGAAGUGAUGGAAGCCAGGAGGGAUGGACUUUGUGGAGAAGAAUCAGAAAUGUCUGAAGGAGAACUACCCAGAUGGGACACCACUGUGAAGGUCCCCAGGCAGCUGGGCAGAGGUCAGCACAAGCAGAAGAUGCCUGCAGCAAGGAUUGACUGAGGAGGAGAGCUGAGAGGACCAGCCUUGCCUUGUCCUGUAUCAGCUGUAUCCUGAAAGCUAACAGCAUCCUUACUUCUUGACUCAGAGCAUCUAGUUUGUUAAAACCCAUGGCCAGGGGCUUUCUUUCUCAUCGCGUCUAAUCUAUUAAAACUCAAUGCCACGGACAAGGUUUUUUGUUUUUAUCAAGAUAAAUGAUGGUCUAAGCCUUCUAUAGGAAUAAUCUUCUACUGAAGGAAUUUGGAUUUUAGUAUUUAUAAAGUCAUCUUCACUUGAGGCAUGGGCUGAUUCUGGAUGAUCUCAGUUGUCACUGCCUUACAAAAAUCAGAUCACUGGACAGUAUCAAUUAGUCCCUUUUUUUGAAUCUGCAUUAGUUACUAAGCAUCUCAUAGAGUCAUUUCAUAGACAUGCAGUCCAGCUGGUAUCUGUUUUCAGGAUAACCUGGGACCAGUUAAGUGACAGGCAACCCAGAAAAAGCAAGAAGAGAAGAGACCUGUAGUUACUAAGUGGCUCUUUCAAGUGUUUUAUUUAACUUAAUCUUCCUCACAAGUCUGGGAGGUAGGUUUAUUUUCUCAGUUUUUCAGCUAAGGAAACGGACAUUCCAAAAGGGGUGUGGUAAUCUGAGGAGGUGGGGGAAGCAGAAGGCUAAAAUGAACCCACCGAGCCUCCCCUCUGCAUAGUUCCUUUCUCUUGAGUGUAGGCAGAACCUGUGGAUAAGAUGGGUCAGAACUGUCCUAAUCAGGUUAUGUUAUAUGGCAAAAGGAUUGUGCACGUUCAUUAAGGCUGCCUGUCAGCUGACUUUGAGUUCAUCAGUAGGGAAAAUAUCUAGGUGGGCCUAAUCACAGGGCCCACCUUUACAUCUGCAGGGGGAGGUCAAAGAGGAAGUCAGAGAUUGGAAGAAUCAGAGAGGUUGGACAUGAAAGACACUCUCCUUGCUGGCUUUGAGGUUGGAGAAAGCCAUGCUAGAAGGAAUGCAAGUGGCCUUAGGAGUUGACAGCUAGCAACAGAAUGGGGUCUCCACACUACAACCUCAAGGAACUAAGUUCUCCCAACAACCAUAUGCGCUUGAAAGUUCUGAGCCCCAGAAAGGAACUCAGCCCAGCUGACACCCUGACUGCAACUUUGUGAAACUCUGAGCAGAGAACCCAGCUCACUAUGCCUAGACUUCCAACCUACAGAAACCAGGAGAUGGUAAUUAGGGGUGGUUUAAAACUGCUUAGCUUGUGUUAAUUGGGUUACACAGCCAUAGAAUAUAGAAGGCUGAUGAAUCAGAAUUGAAAGCCAAGGCUGUCAGGACUAAAGCUGAGCUCCUCCCACGGCAGUAGCUACCUCCUCUCCCUCUGCUCUGUCAGGGAGAGAGAAAGCAAGAAGAGUUUAUUGGGCAUUUGAACACUGCAAGUGUGUAUUGAGAGGCUGGAUUAGAUGGUGGUUUUACGAAAUGAUUAAGACUCAACAACAUCCCUCAAGGGGCUCACUGGCUAGCAUGAAAGACAAACGAGAGGCAGAUGGUGGAAGUGUUGGGGGACUGCCUGUGGCAGAUAGGUGGCAAUACUCUGUGAGAGUUGGCCUCGGAGAAGGCUCCAAAGGAAAGGACACUUUGAGCUUGAACUUGAAGACUGAAUUGGAGGCUACAGGGGACAAAGUGGGACAUGCGUAUCUGAAACAGGUCAAAACUAGACUCUGCGCACCUAGUAAAACAAAUCAGAAAGGUGAGUUUAUUGCAGAGGUUUUGACCCACAGGCCAGGAAACUCAAGGUCAAGAAGCUGUGAGUUCUGAGUUUGCUCACAGACUGAGGGAUUUUCAUGGGGGUAAAUGCCAACAUUUUUGCUUUUUCUGCUGAUUGGUUGCCAGGUGGUCUUCUUCCUUACUUGGAUCGGGCAGCUGAGCCAGGGGAACAAGGAAUUCCAGAGAUGACAUGAACACACUUGGCAUUUGGUGAUUGGCUGGCGUCCUCCUCUGAUCUCUGAGAAGAGCUGUAAAAUCCUUCACCUUUGUUAGGUAAGGCUAAGUUUCAUUUCCUUUAAUGUGCCUGUGUUAGCCAACUGCGUUUUGUCCCUGACAUAAGUGAGUCCAUUUUAGUUUGGUUCUAUAAAGGGCAACAUCAUGGGCAAAAGCAGAGACAGAACACUCACUCUAAAUUCUCAUAAGCAGCCUGGCAUGUCUAAACCAUCAGGUGCAUGCAGGGCAGGUAGGAGCCGGGGCUGGAAGUGUGGAUGAGACCAGAGAAGGGUCUUUCAUUCUGUGAUAACAGUGCUCAGGUCUUUCCUCUAGGCGAUUAGAAUAAUUUCUCUGUUCUGCCAGCCCUGCCUGCCCAGAGAUCUCAUAAAAAUCAAAAGGCAAUUUACUAGAUGACAUUCUGGGCUGCCUUAAUAUGCAUUAAAUAUUAAGAUCUACGACCUCAAACGGCUGCCGUUUCUUUGGUCAACUCCUUUUCACUUAAUUUAAUCUGGGAUUCAUUCCACAAACAUUUCCUAUGCAGAAGCUCUUGCUGGACACCGUGUUGCCCUGGGGGCACAGCAGGAAACCACUGGAGGCCCUCUCCUCUGGGAGCUGCACUGACCCAGCCUGGGGAAGGUGAGGGAAUAAGAAAGGGUUUCCAGGAGUUCCUGCUGUGGUGCAGUUGUUAAGAACCCGCCUGGACUGCAGCAGGUUGGGUUGCUGCAGAGGCUUAAGGUUCGAUCCCUGGCCUGGCUUAGUGGGUUAAAGGAACUGGCAUUGCCACACCUAUGGCUUGGAUUCAGGCCCUGGCCCAGGAACUUCCAUAUGCUGUGGCUGCGGCAAAAAAAAAGGGAAGAAAGAAGGGAAUUUGAGACUUGAGAAGAGAGGGAUGGGGCUGGGUGGGGGCGGGAGAACAGGCCAGAAAGCAUCAAGGGCUUUCUUUUCCAAAACACUCUGGAAUAUUCCCUACGCUCUGAGAACCUGCUGCUUCUGAUGAAAAGCUGUCAAGCUUCAGCUGGAAGUUAUACAGGAAACCAGAACCAGUUCAGAGUUGGCGACUGCGUGCAGCCUCAUUGGAUGCUCAGAGGUGAAUUACCAUGAUUUCUUAGCUUUGACUGCAUCAUGGCAUCUUUCCUUCCUUAAAAUUUGGCAUAAUGAUAUCAUAAGCCACAAAAUAUUUCAAGGGCCAUUUUGGAAAGUACUGUUUUUGUUUUUUGUACAGCAGACUUCUCUUUCUUAGUCUCAAGUUUGAAGUUUUUCAGUCUACUGUAAAAGAAAUAAAAAAU